CAAAAACAUCGCCUCUUGCUAAACUAUAAGAGGUCCUGCCUGCCCUGUGAUUUAUUUAACGGCCGCGGUACCCUAACCGUGCAAAGGUAGCAUAAUCAAUUGUCCCUUAAAUUUGGACUAGUAUGAACGGCACCACGAGGGUUUAACUGUCUCCCUCCUUCAAUCAAUGAAAUUAAUCUUCCUGUGAAAAAGCAGGAAUAAAAUUAUAAGACGAAAAGACCCUAUGGAGCUUUAAACUUAUUACCACUUAUUUAGUUACAUAACAAUUUAAAUAAUAAGACUGUUCUUUAAUAGUUUUCGGUUGGGGCGACCCUGGAGAAAAAUAAAUCCUCCAGAUUGAAAAAUAACCCUUAUAUAAGAACCACAAUUCAAAUAAACAAAAAUUUGACAAAACUGACCCAGAAUAACUGAUCAGUGAACCAAGUUACCCUAGGGAUAACAGCGCUAUCCAUUUUGAGAGUCCGUAUUGACAAAUGGGUUUACGACCUCGAUGUUGGAUCGGGGUAUCCCAGCAGCGCAGCAGUUGCUAAUGGUUCGUUUGUUCAACGACUAACACCCCACGUGAUCUGA
rnacentral:rRNA from 1 species